CCCGGGCUGGGACGUGUCGCGCCCCUACAGCGUGCAGUCCACCAAGUCCGCCCCCGACGUCAUCGUCACUCACUGACAGCGGUGACACGCCGGGGGCUGGGAGCCGUACCGCAGACGGCACCCCCGGCAGAGGCUGCGGCUGGUGAAGACGCCGCCGCAGCAGCGGGCCACCUCCAAGGCGGUGCAGUGCGACGACGCAGACAUCGACGCGGCCGCGGCAGCCGCCACCACCUGACACGCCAUCAACCGCAGGGGGCGGCCCUCGCCGACCUCCGCGUCCACCCCCGAGCCGCAACGGCCGACAACCUACCCUCGGACGUACGCUCGCCUUCGCCACACGAUCGGAGGACACGUCGCCCGCACAGAUGUGCCACCAGCUACUCCACCAAGUGCUUUUGUUUUCGUGCAACUGUGGACCGAACUCGUCCUGGCUUGUUCGAUUACAUGUUGAGAUUAUUCUGCUUGUAAUUACACACAUUUGAUAAUUGCCAGAAAUCAGACGGGUGUUCACUGAAAGUGACAUUACCAUUCAAACAUUUUGUACCGUUACUUUCACUUGCUGCCCGGAAGAAUACUCGUUCCAGAAAUUUUCGCAAAUAUGAUGUAAAUGGAACACUCACCUCUGCAACUCCCAGAAAAUAUUCAGGAUAUUUCCCGUUCUACUUCCCUUAUUCCAGUUCUGUGGAACGAAUUUAGCAAUAAUUGAAAUCUACCUACUGAAAUUUAGGAUAUGUAUGAUAUUAUCUUUUCUCAGCAUUAUCUCGCAAAUGCGAAGCCUUUAGUAACCAUUGUACAAAACGUCAAUCAGCAUACAAUAAUGCACUACACAUUACUGAUGUGUGGAGAGAAGCAGCACGCAAAUCGUCUCUCGAACCUCGGGAAAGGAACCAAAGUGUGGUCUGACAUCUUUCACCGAGAAGAUGGGUCUUUAUGAACUGUAAAUAAUUAUUGAUCUUAGCUUAUGUAAACGAGAAGAUGUCGAGACCAUCCACCUGAAUUCCGUCAUAGGUCAUAGUUCUGCGCACGUGACAGAAGUAGAUUUUAUUCAGAACCACUGAGGACAUAGACCCGUGAAGUUAAGCUUUCGAGGCAGUGGCUUCACGUUUCGUGCUCCCAGGCUCAAGUAUCUGCGUACCCGACAAUUUUGUGACAUUCUGCCCUGAAAACGUUUACAGGCAUUCAGGUCGACCUUCCAACACUUCUUCGAUAUGACAAAUUUUCAUUUGUCGUGGAAUGGUUACCAGUGAUUAACUCAGUCCAUCUGCGCUCUAUAAAAAGCUUUAACACACUUGGCACACGUUCGCUUCUAUGCGUGGUUCGCUCCUUCUACCACCUUCUGUACUUCCCCUGUCCGGUUAUAUCAGUUUCUAUUCAAGAACAAUGUCCUAAUCAUAUUGUACACAACCUCCAAUUUGUCAAUACUUACGCAGUGUUGUUGUUGUGGUGUUCAGUGUCUCUAUCCUUUGCAAGCCUCUUCAUCUCUGCAUAACUACUGAUAAUAAACUCCACUUGAAACAACUCACUGUACUCAAGUCUUGGUCUCCCUCCAUAAUUGUCUACCGUACCACACUUACUUCCACUAAAAAAAUUCCUCAAUCUUUCAAGGUGCGUCCUGCAGACCGACACCUUCUUUCAGUCGAGUUGUACCACAAAUUAUUUUUUCCCCAGUUCGACUGCAUACCUUCCCAUUAGUUAUUCAAUCUAGUUAUCUAAUUUUGAAUCCUUCCUGUAGCACUACAUUGCAAAACUUCUGUUCUCUUUUUGUCCGGGAUGCUUAACGUCCACGUUUGACUCUCAUUGAAAUAACUUCAGAAGAGACUUCCUGAUCCGUAACAAAUUUCUCUUUUUCAGAAGCAGUUUCCUUGAUAUUGCCAAACUGCACAUUAUGUCCUCUCAGACGCCUCAUGUAGCUUGACUGCAUUCCAUUACACUUGAUUUACUUUUGAUGAUAAUCUUUUCAAGACAGUAUACAUUCCUUUGAACUAAUCCUCCAAGUUAUCUUGCAUCUCUGCAAUAUUAUCGGCAGACCUCAUAGUUUUUGUUUCUUCUCCCUGACCGUCAAUUCCCUUCCCAAACUCCUUCUUGCUCAAUGUACUGAUUGAUAAAAUCGGAGAGAGACUACAACACCGCCGUACUCGAUUCUAAACUACUACUUCCCCUUCAAGUCUUUCGACUCUGUUUUCACGCUUUUGUACAAACAUUGCAUCUUGUUCUGAUUUCGAGCCACUGCAGCGGAACGUGGAAAGAGUUUGUUAGCAAUCACAGCCAAUAAAAGCAAUACAUCAUACCGAUUAUCAAUAAACUCUAUUGGGAAACAAACUGCCUUAAUUCUAGAUACUUAUAAAAAUGUGCUAGAAAAACGAAUCAAACGCAAAAUUUAGAUAUUUUUGGCAAAUAACAGUGCAUAGACUCGUAUAUGGUACCUACCACAUUUCUGCGCUAAGCACAAAUGCAAACAGAUCUUGUCCUCUGUAGUAUUUACUGCGUCUUAUUUCACUCGCUAGUCGACGCAUUCUACGUACACAAGAGGUGUGUCUACGCCUCGCAGUUACACAGAUGAACUGAGGUGCAUGGAGAAUUUCGAUACAUGUCUAUACGAAAAUAUUCACAGCUGUGGCGACUUACGACGGAUGUAGUGACCUCACGUCAUUCACUAGUGCUGCAGCUCUCCACGUGGCCUUCACGCGGCAGGCACCAACGGGAUACAGUGAAAUCCGACGCGAGUUCAGCCCCAGGGGCAACAACAGACUGUGGAGAGAUCGUUGUCUUCCAGUUGGAAGCAUUUUUUAAUUUUUACUUUAUAUCAACUCGCAGGUCAAAGCGACGCCACUUUUGCUGCUGUGGAAAAUAAUUCACAUGUUGUUAUCACGUGUUUUUAUAAUUGACGCAUCGUAUGUUGUUAUACUUCAAAAGAGAAAUGUUAUUCCAAUGUCGAUAUUUAGGAUGUUAGUAAAAACAGAAACACAGAUAUACGACUGUUCUGAGUUUUAAUUAACGAUUAUAAUGAUAAUGAAAUGUUUGAAGAUUGGAAUAAUACAACUGUUUCCUGUUAAA